UCUCUUUACGUGCUUUGGAGCUUCAUUGCUCUAGUCGGGUGUAUAGCCAGACUCUAACUUAUUGAUUGGC
rnacentral:sRNA from 1 species